CAGAGUGUAGCUAAAAUAGGAAAGCACCUCCCUUACACCGAGAAGACACCCGUGCAAAUCGGGUCACCCUGA
rnacentral:tRNA from 1 species